rnacentral:rRNA from 1 species
UCUCAGUUCGGAUUGGAGGCUGAAACCCGCCUCCAUGAAGUUGGAUUCGCUAGUAAUCGCGCAUCAGCCAUGGCGCGGUGAAUACGUUCCCGGGCCUUGUACACACCGCCCGUCAAGCCAUGGGAGCCGGGGGUGCCUGAAGUUCGUGACCGCAAGGAGCGACCUAGGGCAAAACUGGUGACUGGGGCUAAGUCGUAACAAGGUAUC